rnacentral:RNase_P_RNA from 1 species
CGAGUAAGUCAGAUAGUCGCGGAUCGUGAUUACACGAACGAGGAAAGUCCGAGCUCCAUAGGGCAAGGGUGCUGGGUAAUACCCAGUGGAGGCGACUCUAAGGAAAGUGCAACAGAAAUAAACCGCCAAUUUAUUUGGUAAGGAUGGAAAGGUGAGGUAAGAGCUCACCAGCAACUAGGCGACUAGUUGGCUAUGUAAACCCCACCCGGAGCAAGACCAAGUAGGGACUAUAUAGCGGCGGCCCGUCGUGUCCCGUGGUAGGUCGCUUGAGUUUACUGGCAACAGUAGACCUAGAUAGAUGGCUAUCAAAUACAGAACUCGGCUUAUAGACUUGCUCGUAUA